rnacentral:rRNA from 13 species
GAAGUAAAAGUCGUAACAAGGUCUCCGUUGGUGAACCAGCGGAGGGAUCAUU